GCAUAUCAAUAAGCGGAGGAAAAGAAACCAACAGGGAUUGCCCCAGUAACGGCGAGUGAAGCGGCAACAGCUCAAAUUUGAAAUCUGGCCCCCCCGGGGCCCGAGUUGUWWUUUGUAGAGGAUGCUUUUGGCGAGGCGCCUUCCGAGUUCCCUGGAACGGGACSCCACAGAGGGUGAGAGCCCCGUCUGGUUGGAUGCCGAGCCUCUGUAAAGCUCCUUSVACGAGUCGAGUAGUUUGGGAAUGCUGCUCUAAAUGGGAGGUAUAUGUCUUCUAAAGCUAAAUAUUGGCCAGAGACCGAUMGCGCACAAGUAGAGUGAUCGAAAGAUGAAAAGCACUUUGAAAAGAGGGUUAAAUAGUACGUGAAAUUGUUGAAAGGGAAGCGCUCAUGACCAGACUUGGGCCCGGUGAAUCAUCCAGCGUUYUCGCUGGUGCACUUUGCCGGGCACAGGCCAGCAUCAGUUUGCCCCGGGGGACAAAGGCUCUGGGAAUGUGGCUCCUCCGGGAGUGUUAUAGCCCUCUGCGCAAUGCCCUGGGGCGGAMUGAGGUUCGCGCAUCUGCAAGGAUGCUGGCKUAAUGGUCAUCAGCGACCCGUCUUGAAACACGGACCAAGGAGUCGUCCUCGUAUGCGAGUGUUCGGGUGUSAAACCCCUACGCGUAAUGAAAGUGAACGCAGGUGAGAGCUUCGGCGCAUCAUCGACCGAUCCUGAUGUUCUCGGAUGGAUUUGAGUARGAGCAUACGGGGCCGGACCCGAAAGAAGGUGAACUAUGCCUGUAUAGGGUGAAGCCAGAGGAAACUCUGGUGGAGGCUCGCAGCGGUUCUGACGUGCAAAUCGAUCGUCAAAYAUGGGCAUGGGGGGCGAAAGACUAAUC
rnacentral:rRNA from 1 species